rnacentral:rRNA from 1 species
CCGAUCUCGAAAACCUGUCCCAGUUCGGACUGGAGUCUGCAACCCGACUCCACGAAGUUGGAUUCGCUAGUAAUCGCGCAUCAGCCAUGGCGCGGUGAAUACGUUCCCGGGCCUUGUACACACCGCCCGUCAAGCCAUGGGAGCCGGGGGCGCCUGAAGUCCGGGACCGCGAGGACCGGCCUAAGGCGAAACUGGUGACUGGGGCUAAGUCGUAACAAGGUAUC